UACGGGGGGCGCAAGCGUUGUUCGGAAUCACUGGGCGUAAAGCGCGUGUAGGCGGCUUUGCAAGUCGGGUGUGAAAUCCCGAGGCUCAACCUCGGAACUGCACUCGAUACUGCUUGGCUCGAGUCCCGGAGAGGGUGGUGGAAUUCCCGGUGUAGAGGUGAAAUUCGUAGAUAUCGGGAGGAACACCAGCGGCGAAGGCGGCCACCUGGACGGUGACUGACGCUGAGACGCGAAAGCGUGGGGAGCAAACAGG
rnacentral:rRNA from 1 species